rnacentral:rRNA from 1 species
UACGAAGGGGGCUAGCGUUGCUCGGAAUCACUGGGCGUAAAGCGCACGUAGGCGGAUUGCUAAGUCAGGGGUGAAAUCCUGGAGCUCAACUCCAGAACUGCCUUUGAUACUGGCGAUCUUGAGUCCGGGAGAGGUGAGUGGAACUGCGAGUGUAGAGGUGAAAUUCGUAGAUAUUCGCAAGAACACCAGUGGCGAAGGCGGCUCACUGGUCCGAUACUGACGCUGAGGUGCGAAAGCGUGGGGAGCAAACAGG